UACGAAGGGGGCUAGCGUUGCUCGGAAUCACUGGGCGUAAAGGGUGCGUAGGUGGGUCUGUAAGUCAGUGGUGAAAUCUUCGAGCUUAACUCGGAAACUGCCAUUGAUACUAUAGGUCUUGAAUUAUCUGGAGGUAAGCGGAAUAUGUCAUGUAGCGGUGAAAUGCUUAGAUAUGACAUAGAACACCAAUUGCGAAGGCAGCUUACUACGGAUCGAUUGACACUGAGGCACGAAAGCGUGGGGAUCAAACAGG
rnacentral:rRNA from 1 species